GCGGGGAUAGCUCAGUUGGGAGAGCGUCAGACUGAAGAUCUGAAGGACGCGUGUUCGCUCCACGCUCACCGCA
rfam:Brassica rapa chromosome A8, whole genome shotgun sequence.